rnacentral:pre_miRNA from 1 species
AUCAUACUCCCUCCGUCCCAAAAUUCUUGUCUUAGAUUUGUCUAGAUAUGAAUGUAUCUAGUGAGGUUUUAGUAUUUAGAUAGAUCCAUUUCUAGACAAACCUAAGACAAAAAUUUUGGGAUGGAGGGAGUACAUA